GUUUUGCGUGCUUGCCAAAAGACUUGUGAUAAUGAGUGGUUUGUCUACAACUAGGGCCACUGUCAAGUUACAAGGUAGGAGCUAGUUCUUGUGUUGACUGAACCUGAAGAUUGAAAAGACCCAUAGGUUAAGAGCCCCGUAGAAAACUGGAAAUCUAGUCAGAGGUUUCUGUAUGUUUUGUUUGGCUUUUGAGCUUUACUGAGAGACUCAAAAAAGGAGUCCAGCAUCUACUGCCCUGAAAGAAAAAUGAGAUGAAGAGGAGUCUCUGGAGAGACUGAGCAUUUGAAUUGAAGACAGCAAGGUUGUGAUGCAUUCUGAAAAGGAUAUAGACUUCAGAGAAACCUACAAAGAUGACUACAUACACCUUUAUGGGUAUUUUCUGGGAUAAAAGUACCAAGGAUACCAUCCGGAUCGCGUACACAAAGCAUAUGAUCAACACAAUGAGUGAAACUGGAAACUAUGAGAACUCAAAUAGGGAGGGUUGUAUAACAAUUUUUAAACCAUUUCUUAUGACUUAAAAUUAGUAGCAAGGGAUAAAAUUAUCUGUUUAUCUUCAGCAGAUUAACACCAUUUGUUGCAUACAAUUCUAAGGGUCAAAUCUUUUUAUUUACAUAAGUUUUUAAUCAAGAUUGGUUUGUGGGUGUCAGUACAGUCAUUCUAACUCUACAUAUGGAGAGAAAAACAAAAGUUUAUCUUACCAACGUUUUUUUUCUCUUCAUGUUACAGUCCAUGGGGGGCACGAGACAAAAGUAUGGCAUUCAUAAGAUCACAACUGUGCAGCUGCAAGGCGUCCUGUCCUGUUCCUGUGUGGGCUGCCCACGCCAGUGGUUGCACCAAGGCAAUGGUCCCGGCUCAUCUUGGGGGAUGCUGCCCUGGUUUCCCCUUUUUGGUAGGUCUGAGCAGGGGUGACUGGGAGUGCUUAUUGCCAGGAAGAGGUGAUCCCUGCUGCACCAAGCAUAGUGGUCUCACCUUCCUUUGCUUGUUGUAGGGAAGAAAUGGGUAAGAGUUAACUGUCCUUGCUAGGAGGAUAUGCAGCACUGGAAAAUGGUAUCCAGGGAGACUGCGAAGAUGCUUUCCUUGGGGGUUUUCAAGACUUGGCACUGCCAUUGCUGACCUGAGCCAGGCUGGCAAUAGUCCAGCUACAAGUAGGGGUUGGGAGCUGGUCACCUCCAAGGCCUCCUUCAGCAAAUGUUUAAAUUGUCACUCCUCUAUCGUUGAGGAAAUGCAUGUAUAGCAGUAGCCACUGCUAGUGGCAGAGCAAUUGUUGCCUGAUUGUAACUAUGACUGUUGCUGAUCUAUCCACAGUGAGGCAGAGGAGUUUCUCCUUUUCUCCUGUUCUUAUGGUGAAAGACCUUAACGGCAUCUGG
rnacentral:lncRNA from 1 species